CACGUAGGGCGCGAGCGUUGUCCGGAAUUAUUGGGCGUAAAGAGCUCGUAGGCGGCCUGUUGCGUCCGCUGUGAAAGCCCGGGGCUUAACCCCGGGUCGGCAGUGGAUACGGGCAGGCUAGAGGUAGGUAGGGGAGAAUGGAAUUCCCGGUGUAGCGGUGAAAUGCGCAGAUAUCGGGAGGAACACCAAUGGCGAAGGCAGCUCGCUGGGACGGUACUGACGCUGAGGCGCGAAAGCGUGGGGAGCAAACAGG
rnacentral:rRNA from 1 species